UGCCGCCAGGUGCAUUGCCGGGUAUCUAAGUCGGGAUUGGAUAAGUGCUGAAAGCAUCUAAGUACGAAGCCAGCCACAAGAUUAGAUUUCUUUCAGGGUCGUUGUAGACUACAACGUUGAUAGGACGCAGGUGUACAGGUGGUAACA
rnacentral:rRNA from 1 species